rnacentral:misc_RNA from 1 species
ACAACAACAACAAUAACAGCAAUAGCUUCAAUCUGAUGUUCGGGUCUCCAUUUGAUCUGCCUUCAUUUGACUACAAAGAGGACUUACAGGGCCUGGCAAUGGAUUCUUUGCCAAAGCAGCAGGAUGUUUCAAUCUGGUUCCAGUAAAAAAGUACAGUCACUGUACAAGAACUUUUACGUUCUAUUGGGAUGACCUAUCUUACUCUUAUCAGCCUCUGCAAACCAGUGAGCUUUCACUGGAUAAAAACUAUUAUCAGUUACUGUAUUUCCCUUAUCUGGUAGGCCUAGAACUUGUUAGAUAGUUAAAGCAGGGGAGUGAAAUGGGCUAAUAAAGAGAUUAGCAAGUCCCAUAAAUUUACUCCUGCUGUUGAUUACUAUACAUAAUGCGACUGUGAAAUAAAUAAGUAUUAGCUAUGUUUUGUGGGUUUGGGGGGUUGUUCUUUGUUUCAUCAGAUCGGAUCAGAUCAACCAAUGUGGUUAGGAAUGUGAUGGAAGGUCUUUGUUUAAAUUGUCUUGUAAUGGGUACAUGUUGUUUGGUUCUCGCUGAAUGAAAAGGGUUGUCUUUUUGUGAAUCUUGUUGCUCAUGAGCAUGUGAAUUUCUUGACCCACUUGGGAGAUGCCAAG